UACGUAGGUGGCAAGCGUUGUCCGGAAUUAUUGGGCGUAAAGCGCGCGCAGGCGGUCCUUUAAGUCUGAUGUGAAAGCCCACGGCUCAACCGGGGAGGGUCGUCGGGGACUGGUGGACUUGAGGGCGGCAGGGGCUGGUGGAAUCCCCGGUGUAGUGGUGAAAUGCGUAGAGAUCGGGGGGAACACCCGUGGCGAAGGCGGCCAGCUGGGCCGACCCUGACACUGAGGCGCGAAGGCGUGGGGAGCGAACGGG
rnacentral:rRNA from 1 species